rnacentral:pre_miRNA from 1 species
GAUUUCAACUGAAAAAGUCAUCAACAACAAAGUUGUAUAAGACACCAAGAUCUAUAACUUUUAUUUUGGUCAUUUCUUCAUCUGACAAAUUGAUAGUAACAUUGAUUAUAAAAUUUACAUAUCUCUCAUUUGGUGUUAUAAACAAUAAGAGAGAGAUGUAAAAUUUGUAAACAAUGUUACUAUCACUUUGUCGGAUGAAGAAAUGACCAAAAUAAAAGUUGUAUGUCUUGAUGAGUUCUACAACUUUUAUGUUCAUGACUUUUUCAGCUGAUUUU